CCGGCCCGGCCGCCGCACCCCGCCCCGGCCGGCCCCUCUUAGCAUGGUGCGGGGCCGCCGCCGCCUCGUCCUCCGGCUGCCGACAUGGGCGAGAGGCUGGAGCUGCGGCUGAAGUCGCCCGUGGGAGCCGAGCCCGCCGUGUACCCGUGGCCGCUGCCCGUCUACGACAAACACCACGAUGCUGCUCAUGAAAUUAUUGAGACCAUUCGGUGGGUCUGUGAAGAAAUCCCAGAUCUCAAGCUUGCCAUGGAAAACUACGUUUUAAUUGACUAUGACACGAAAAGGUGAGAGGGAUGUUUUGGGAGGCCG